UGCGCUAAAGGAGCGGCCGAUGUCUGAUUAGCUAGUUGGUGGGGUAAAGGCCUACCAAGGCGACGAUCAGUAGUUGGUCUGAGAGGACGACCAACCACACUGGGACUGAGACACGGCCCAGACUCCUACGGGAGGCAGCAGUGGGGAAUUUUGGACAAUGGGCGAAAGCCUGAUCCAGCCAUGCCGCGUGAGUGAAGAAGGCCUUCGGGUUGUAAAGCUCUUUCAGUCGGAAAGAAACGAUUGUGACUAAUACUCACAAUUAAUGACGGUACCGACAGAAGAAGCACCGGCUAACUACGUGCCAGCAGCCGCGGUAAUACGUAGGGUGCGAGCGUUAAUCGGAAUUACUGGGCGUAAAGGGUGCGCAGGCGGUCUUGCAAGUCAGAUGUGAAAUCCCCGGGCUUAACCUGGGAAUUGCGUUUGAAACUACAAGGCUAGA
rnacentral:rRNA from 1 species